rfam:Trachymyrmex zeteki contig3359, whole genome shotgun sequence.
AAAUCGGCUCUUUUCAGGGCCACCAUAAAUUCUCCAUAUUGUAAACU